rnacentral:lncRNA from 1 species
UCACUGUCACUACUGACACUCCGUUUGGCAACAUCUUCACUAGAAUCGACGUAGUCGCUUAUCUCCUUUAACUCUGAAUCUGAUUCGGAUACCGAAUCUUUAAUUUUCUUUCUUUUUGAGAUAUUUCUAACUGCCUCAGCUCUUCUUUUUCUACUGCUACCAGCGGUACCGGCUUUGCAUUUAGGAAUGAUAUUUUUUUUAUCUAUUUUCAACACAAUCUACACCUGAAGAAUAAAUCUUUCAUUUUUAGUUCAUAGACCACAAGUCUAUCAACAGAAUUAACUCAAUGCUCAAAUGAAAACCCCACAAAAAGUUAACAAACACCCCACCAUUAAACAGUUCAUUACACAAACAUACAAUAACUGAACUAAAAUCCAACAUGCAAUAUCAAAACACAACAAUUGCUAAAAAUUAAACUAGUGCACCUAAUCAAACUAAUUAGCUAUUAAUAUUUCAAUUUUCACUAUUUCAGCAAUCAUGUUUUAAAAGAAUUUCAUACAUUCUUAAAAUUGAACAUGGUAUGAGAAAUGCAACAACUACUCUUGGUGAAUAUCACCACCGCGCUUGAUGCUCCCAACUUCAUCUCCAUAUCCAUGUUCAAACAAAUUGAAGAAAUUGAAUAAUGUGUUUGGUCAAAUGCCAAGAGUUGUAGCUUUUAGUGGAGAUGAAAGAAGUUAUACUGAAGGCUAAAGGUUUGUGAUGUAAAGUGAAUUUGAAGCUUGAUUUGUUGUUGAGAAAAUUGAACCUAUCAUUGAAGCUAUUUAU